ACUCUCUUAGAACAGAUUACACAGAAUUCAACACCUCAAAUGUACUUCUUACUUCUGGGAACUUCUUCUUUAGUUUGUCAGUUAAAAACACAUUCACCACAAGAGGUUAACAUCCCAUAGUGUAUAUAGUGACCAUCUUCAGUAUCAAUUCAUUUAUGAUGGAAUUAUGAUUCAGCAUCCUGAUGUGUGACCUAUGUUUCAGGGUGUCUGAGUCAGGACAACGGGAGUGUGACUUACACCGCCAGGAGAGUCUGCUCCUUCGAGGGCUCUUCUGUGACCACGCCCUGCUCUUACACGUUUCCCAAGGGUCACAAAGUCACAACAGCUUUCUGUUUCAAAGGUCAAGUGCCUAGUCUCUGGAUCUGAAUUUGAACCCUGAGUACAAAGGCCAUGUGGAGUAACUAGGGGACAGUGACCGACUCUGUACACUGAGAAUCACAGACCUGAGAGAGAGCGAUUCAUGCACCUACAGCUUCCUGUUUGGGACUGACGUCAAUCCUGGGGGAUGGAUGGGGAAUGCAGGAGUAAGGUUAAUUGUGACAGGGCUCCAUGUUGAUUUGACCCCUGACCUAGUUGUGGACAGCGAGAGGGCCGUCCUGACCUGUGGCUCCUACUUCAUCAGAGAGAAUCCCACCUACACCUGGUACAGGGACACAACCUUUGACCUAUACCAACAAGGUCAAGGUUAUGGCCAAUUACCUGGAACUAGACCCGGUAGGCAGGGAGGAUGCAGGCAGCUACUCCUGUGCGGUGAGCGGCAGAGAGGAUUCCCCUGGUCCGGCAGUGAUCCUUGUAGUGGGAUGUGAGUAGAGUGCUUAGAGAGGAUAUUAGAAAUGUAUGCAUUUCUUCCGUUUAUGUCCCUAGCAAAUCAUCUAUUGGCUCUGAGAGUCAGCAACCCAAAUAUGGUUUUGUUUACUGACCUACAUCUUAGCAUUAGCUUGAAAAACAACAAAGGGGUAUACUACAGCUAACUUUGAUAAACAACCAGAAAUAACCAUUAAUUUUCUGAUUCAUUAAGAAAGCUAAACUUCAAUAUGUGUUUUUGGUUGUUCAGU
rnacentral:lncRNA from 8 species